rnacentral:rRNA from 1 species
UACGUAGGGGGCAAGCGUUGUCCGGAUUUAUUGGGCGUAAAGAGCGUGUAGGCGGCCAGAUAGGUCCGUUGUGAAAACUCGAGGCUCAACCUCGAGACGCCGAUGGAAACCAUUUGGCUAGAGUCCGGAAGAGGAGAAUGGAAUUCCUGGUGUAGCGGUGAAAUGCGCAGAUAUCAGGAAGAACACCCGUGGCGAAGGCGGUUCUCUGGGACGGUACUGACGCUGAGACGCGAAAGCGUGGGGAGCGAACAGG